rnacentral:rRNA from 1 species
CAGCAGCCGCGGGAAUACAGAGGGUGCGAGCGUUAAUCGGAUUUACUGGGCGUAAAGCGUGCGUAGGCGGCUAAUUGAGUCGGAUGUGAAAUCCCCGAGCUUAACUUGGGAAUUGCAUUCGAUACUGGUUAGCUAGAGUGUGGGAGAGGAUGGUAGAAUUCCAGGUGUAGCGGUGAAAUGCGUAGAGAUCUGGAGGAAUACCGAUGGCGAAGGCAGCCAUCUGGCCUAACACUGACGCUGAGGUACAAAAGCAUGGGGAGCAAACAGGAUUAGAUACCCCCGUAGUCCCUGUCUCUUAUAA